CUUGACUGUAGCUUGGAAUUGGGUUCGGGCUCUUCUUGCGCAGCCUAGGUGGGAGGCGUUGAAGGUUUUCUUUCGGGGAAACUGGAGCCAACAGUGAGAGACCACUCUGGAGGAGCUAGAAUUCUAAUGGCGUUCCUUAAAGCAGGACGCUUGACAGUUUCAGGUGGGCAGUUUGACUGGGGCGGUCACCUCCUAAAAGGUAACGGAGGUGUGCAAAGGUUCCCUCAGGCUGGACGGAAAUCAGCCGGAGAGUGUAAAGGCAGAAGGGAGCUUGACUGCAAGACCUACAAGUCGAGCAGGGACGAAAGUCGGUCUUAGUGAUCUGACGGUGCUGAGUGGAAAGGCCGUCACUCAACGGAUAAAAGUUA
rnacentral:rRNA from 1 species